CUACGGGCGGCUGCAGUAAGGAAUAUUGCGCAAUGGAGGCAACUCUGACGCAGCCAUGCCGCGUGCAGGAAGAAGGCCUUAUGGGUCGUAAACUGCUUUUAUUUAGGAAUAAACCCCCGAACGUGUUCGGGGCUGAAGGUACUAAACGAAUAAGCACCGGCUAACUCCGGGCCAGCAGCCGCGGUAAUACGGAGGGUGCAAGCGUUAUCCGGAUUUAUUGGGUUUAAAGGGUGCGCAGGCGGGCUAUUAAGUCAGUGGUGAAAUCCCGGGGCUCAACUCCGGAACUGCCAUUGAUACUGAUAGUCUUGAGUUUGGUUGAAGUGGGCGGAAUGUAGCAUGUAGCGGUGAAAUGCAUAGAUAUGCUACAGAACACCAAUCGCGAAGGCAGCUCACUAAGCCAAAACUGACGCUCAUGCACGAAAGCGUGGGGGUCAAACAGGAUUAGAUACCCCAGUAGUC
rnacentral:rRNA from 1 species